UUGCAAAUGCCAUGGUAUGUCCUGUAAAGCCUCACAUUUGGAGAACUACAAUAUACAGUGAAGUCAUACUUUAAGGUCUCUUGCCUGUGAGGGCUUGUGCUUUAGCACAUUUGUCAUGUUAUAUCCAUGCUGGACACCCAGGGAUGCUCAGUGGGCUAUGAGUCAGCCCAGCAUAGCAUAGUUCCAAAAGCUCUUUUCUUUUUUAUUCUGGCAGAUAACCCAGUUGGAUUGUGUGGGUAGAUUCCCCUAGAAGAAUGGUUAUUCUAGGGCAGGACUAGAGUCUCAUUUUAAAUUCCUCCAAAUGAGAUUAUCUGCACAGGAAAAGGUACUUGUGUAUCAGCAUAAAAGCAUCCAUAUGGGAAUUUACACCAAGAUAUCCAGAAGACAGAGAACUCAUAUCCUAAAUCCAUUUAACUGACCCAUAUGGACAUGUACACAGUGGAGGGAUGAUAUCCUGUGCUCCUGUACAACAAAUGAAACCAUCUGUAUUUGAAAAACAUUGUCUUCUGAUUCCUCUUCCUGUUGCUGGGUGCUUAUAUCUUUCAAAAUAACAGUAAUUUCCUACUUGGCAGCUAUAUUGGACCAAUAUAUGAUUCCUGUGUUGUAACUUUCAACUGAUUUAGAUGUAGAUUUUCGUCUUCUCAAGGCUAUGGAUAGUCUUGUCAAGGCUAUCUGUCCCAGCAGGCUAUUAGUCCAUGGCCUAUGGCACCCAGGUAAGUGGGAAUAUGGAAAGUAUCAUGGGAAACAAUCUGAAUGUAGCCAGGAUAACAGCUUACAGAUAGCAGCAAGGCCACAUUUUUAGAGAUUCUGGUUAAUGCUGUACUCAUUGUACACUGGCGAAAACUCAACAUCUUGGUUAAGCUUUUCAAGCUUCAGGGCUUUCAUCCCAAAGAAACCCAACUGAAAUUUAAUGUUGUUAGGAUUGUGGGUUCUUUUGCUGUUUGCUCCCAAGGGAAAAUGGAACUCUCCAAAACAGUUUCCUGCAGAAAAAUUCCAAGUCUGCAGAAAUUGCUUUUGUCUACCCAAAAGAGCUAUUUCAGUGGAGAACUCCUGGCCAGCUCUGAAGCUCAGUUAUUUAGGGGCGAGCUUAUGUAGAGAUGUCAGCUGUGUUGCCAACUAUUAGCUAAGUUAGCUGUAGAACUUGAUCUCUCACAUAUUUAUCUUUAAUAGAAACAGAGCCAUCAGUGGCCUGUGGUGGUUAUUUGUGUUUCAGAUAACUGCCUGCCCUCAGUUUGGGGAAACCAUCAUUGUUUCCUUAUGCCCAAGGAAUGACUUCUUUAGAGCAAUAGCAUCUCCAUCUAAUAGCUAAAUAGCCUUGGUGCACGGCAGUCUCCAGCUAGAAGAAAAGCCAGAGCAAAGCUUCCAUCCAAGGCGAUGCCAGCCAGAUGCAGGGCAUCCUGCUAUGGCACAGUGUUGGGUUUAUCCUUGACCCAAGGAAGGAGGUCCCAGUUCAACUGCCAUUGAACGUAAGAAGCUUCUUAUGGCUAAAAAGUAACCCUGUGCCAAAACCUGAGAACGUCUUCUGUGCUUUCUGUAGAAGUCUUGGAGCCAGCUCUCUUAGCAAGUCUGGGUCGGGUGCCAAGAAGGCUCUGCUAAAAGAAACCAAGCAGCUCAUGAAUGAUUUGUUUAAACAACAAAUGCCCUCCCUGGCAUAUAGAGCUGUUAGCUUUCCACUCCUUUCCAAGGCUGCUGCUGCAUAAAUAUCCCUAGCACACGGCUCUGCAUCAUGUUUCCAAGCUCUCUUGCUCGCUCUGUGGCGUCCUGGGGUCUGAACAUCCAUCCAGGCAUCUCUGUCUCUCUUACAGAUCCAGGCUUCGGCUCUGCUGGCCAACCCACUUUUGUGGAUUUUCACCUUCCUGCUAGAAUUAUGCUUCUCUAGGAGCUCUCCUAGAGCAAAAAACUCAGUCUAGGAAAACGCUUCCUUUAAGGUUCCUCUUAAAGUUUUGAGGGACCCAUGGCUUUCUCGAGGCACUCAGCAUUCCCUUGGCUGUGGUGUGCUCCAUGUUGCUCUUCUCAUGGUUCUCAGUGUUCCCAAAGAGACAGUCCAGGUUAAAAUUACCCUUGAUGUAAUGUCUUGGGGUCUUUUGAUGCUGCAUAUGGAAGGCAGCUGUCAAUUAGCAGCUGAAAAAAUAGCCUGCAGUGCUAAUGAGAGCAAAUCUAAUAGAGACCUCUUCUAAAUUGUUUCCAUCCAUUUUUCAGGGCUUUUAAUUGCUGUCAUAUUAGAAGGAUGCCAGAAGGAAAACACGAGGGAAAAGCCCCAUUCAGAGGUAGGUUCCUCUCUGCCAGGACUGGCUCGGAGGCAGCCUUCUUCCCUGAGUUUCAUUUACAGGAGCUUCUCAACUCUUUUCUAAAGCUGCAUUUAGCCCUGGGUCCUGGCCAGCUCCUGCAAUCUCAUUUCCCUGGCACUGAGGAUGGGAAGAGGGCCCUUGGUUUUGUACCAAGCACUGCAGCCAUACCAAAGGCUGGGGAUGGAUGCUACCUCCCAGCCACCUGCUGUGCUGCAUUGUGACUCUUUUAUUUUGAAAGGCAUGUAGUUAAACAGGGGAUAUUAGCUACUGGAAAAGCAACAGCAAAAUAUGCAGUGUUUUUAAAUUCUUACCAAAUAAAGGCUAAUUGUUGGUAAGAUGAGGUAUCUUGGCCCUACAGCCAAGAUGCUGCAGACAGAAAGCAAAAGAAAAACAAGGCAAUGAAUGAAACACAGAGAGGGCAACACAAACAAGAAAGCAAUGUGAUCUGUGAAACUAUUAUAAUAUAAUCUCUCCGUGUACACAUACAUACAAGCUACCCACUUCAGGCCAUGGAUAUACCCCAGACCUGCUUGGAAUUAUGUUAUAUAUAAUUAUGUUGCCCCAAAAGCAACUCCUCUUGGCUUUGCAGUGAUGCUUGGCCCACCAGCAUGGUCCCAAAUAGGAGAUAAUGCACCAAGCGUGUCUUUAAUAACCUCGGGACAAGUAGCAGCUUUGCAAAACAAACUUCCCCCAGCUGCACCCACCUGGACAGCAGCCCACUCAGCUGCAUCCCAUGCUGGCCUCUCCUUCUGGACCCAGCUUCACAAAUCUGGGCCAGAUCAGGACAACCCGUCCAUGACCCUGAUGCGGGGACCUGGGGAUUGGGGCAGAGUGGAUGAUGAUGCUCGGCACAGCCAAGGGUCAUAUCCUGCAGCCUUGGACAUCUGGUCUGGGCGUCUCUGCCUGGCUGCCAAGCUCAAGAGCAAAGGGAGAGGGGAGGAGAAAAGCAAACGACCCCGAUGCUCCCCAGAACCACCUUUACCCUCUCCUCUGCCCUCUCUGGAGCCUUUUCCAGUGUCCACACACUGCUGACUCUCAGCUCAGGUGUGAAACAUCCCCUCUGGAACUCCUGCAGUUAUUUCAUCACAAAUCCUCCCAAGAUGAAACCCUUUAUCCCCCCCAGAUUCCUGGAAUACCAAACACUUGGAAUGACCUGGAGCAUUCCCCUCGUCCAUCCAUCUAUCUGUCCCGCACAGAGCUCACCCAGACCAUCUGCAAGGUUGAAAUGUGGCUGCACCUCUGCCCCUUCUAUUCUUUCAGUAGAUGGGAACUGAACUCCAAACUGCCUUGGGCACUUGGAGUUGUGUCUUCGUGGCCAAAGCAAGGAGGUUGGCUGCAGUGACGUGCAGCUUGUAAAAGCUCCCUGCUGUAGCAAUGUCAACUUUGAGGCACACGGAGCAACCCAAGGCAGCCAACACACACCUAUUUGUGCAGCAAGCAUUAAAAAACAGACCCACCUUUGCCAGAUCUGCUCCCAGACCAUGGCCAUCUCAGCGUGUUUAUGGCUUCCACUUGUGGUCAUUAAAUAAAUGUCACAGGAACUUUGGAGGUGGUAAGUAAUCAGAGCAGCUGGGAGAGCUGAAACAACUGCAAGGGCAAGAAAAAUAUUUUGCAAAGGAAACUUCACUGAACUCUUCCACAGAAGACAAAAGAGGUGAAAAGGAGCAACUUUCUGUUUCAUUUUGAAUGGAGAUUUUUCCGCUCUCAUUGCAUUCCGGAAGACAAAAAAAAAAAAAAAAAAA